AGUGAACGCUGGCGGUAGGCCUAACACAUGCAAGUCGAACGGCAGCACAGUAAGAGCUUGCUCUUACGGGUGGCGAGUGGCGGACGGGUGAGGAAUGCAUCGGAAUCUACUUUUUCGGGGGGGAUAACGUAGGGAAACUUACGCUACUACCGCAUACGACCUACGGGUGAAAGCAGGAGAUCUUCGCACCUUGCGCGAUUGAAUGAGCCGAUGUCGGAUUAGCUAGUUGGCGGGGUAAAGGCACACCAAGGCGACGAUCCGUAGCUGGCCUGAGAGGAUGAUCAGCCACACUGGAACUGAGACACGGUCCAGACUCCUACGGGAGGCAGCAGUGGGGAAUAUUGGACAAUGGGCGCAAGCCUGAUCCAGCCAUACCGCGUGGGUGAAGAAGGUCUUCGGGUUGUAAAGCCCUUUUGUUGGGAAAGAAAAGCAGCAGGUUAAUACCCCGCUGUUCUGACGGUACCCAAAGAAUAAGCACCGGCUAACUUCGUG
rnacentral:rRNA from 1 species